rnacentral:misc_RNA from 1 species
UCACUGCUUGCGCAGGCAGUCUCUUUAGAGUCCCCAUCAUAACAUGCUGGCAACAUACGACGGGGGUUGCGCUCGUUGCGGGACUUAACCCAACACCUCACGGCACGAGCUGACGACAGCCAUGCAGCACCUUGCUUUGUGUCCCGAAGGAAAGCUCCAUCUCUGGAGCGGUCACGCGCAUUCUAGCCUAGGUAAGGUUCUUCGCGUUGCUUCGAAUUAAACCACAUACUCCACCGCUUGUGCGGGCCCCCGUCAAUUCCUUUGAGUUUCAGUCUUGCGACCGUACUCCCCAGGCGGCGAACUUAACGCGUUAGCUUCGAUACUGCGUGCCAAAUUGCACCCAACAUCCAGUUCGCAUCGUUUAGGGCGUGGACUAC